rnacentral:lncRNA from 1 species
AGUCACAGCUAUUAUGUGUGUGUGGUGGUGGGGUUGGGAGAGGAUGACCUCUGGAGCAGCCUCUGCUCUCUAGGUCAUAAUACCUUCCCUCUCCCCUAGCAAUGUGUGCCCCCAGAAUGGCAGGCCCGAUAGGGAGGAGUGCUCUAGUGUUAUCGGAGCAGUGUAAGAAGAAUGCAUGGAAAGACAAGAUGGUGGAGUAUCAAGAAGCCAUGCAGUUGAUCCCUUGUCCACAAAUCCUCCAUACAGAUCUAGAAAAUGCACGACUCAAUCCUGAUGGGGAAAUCCAGAAAAAGUCACAAUCCACAGCAGAUCGAAUGGGCCCUGUAGGGGGCCGAAGCCUAGAAGCUGGUGAGGGCCCUGAGGUCUUGGAGGGCCAUGGGGCACCUCCAAGGAAUUCACUCACAUUCUUGGAUGGGGCCUUAGGCCUGGGCAUACUAGGAGUCAGUGCUCGCCUGGUCCUGGCCCUGGCUGGUCCAGCUAUUAUGCUCCUGCUGCUGUUUCUAAUGUUGAGUUUCCUGACUUUUGACCUUAUCCAUGGGCCCCAGGAGUUGCCUCUGCCUCGAAGGCCAAUGUUUAGACCCCUUGGCCUGGGAGCAGGGGGUGAAGGCCCCCGCUUGCGAGAACCACUGCUCCCACCUACCCUGAGUCAUGUCCUGGAUGGAUUCCUUCUCCUUACAGGUCUAGGGCUGAUCCUGGGGGCUGUGAUGCCCUUCAGCAUCUUCAGCCUUAUAGUUAGCCUCUGGCCUCUGGCCUGA